UACAAAUCUUAGCGGUGGAUCACUCGGUUCGUGGAUCGAUGAAGAACGCAGCUAGCUGCGAUAAAUAGUGCGAAUUGCAGACACAUUGAGCACUAAAAUUUCGAACGCACAUUGCGCCAUCGGGUUCAUUCCCGUUGGCACGUCUGGCUGAGGGUCA
rnacentral:rRNA from 1 species